rnacentral:lncRNA from 10 species
AAGGGGGUGAAGAGAACCAGGAAGCUAAACUUUAAAAUGGAGAAUCAAAGAAUAAGAGAGCUGAACAUACUGACAUACUGAUUCUUUGAAGAGAAACUUGGGGUUCACUAUAUUUAACAGGAUCAAAGACACUCCUAGAAUAUGCAGAGAAAUGGAAAACUUCAGAAGAUCCUUUACCUUUAUUGGAGGUAUACACAGUGGCUAUCCAAAGUUAUGUUAAAGCCCGACCUUAUCUUACCUCUGAAUGUGAAAAUGUAGCCUUGGUUCUGGAACGCUUGGCAUUAAGCUGUGUUGAACUUUUACUGUGUCUGCCUGUUGAGUUAUCAGAUAAACAGUGGGAACAAUUUCAGACACUGGUGCAGGUAGCUCAUGAAAAGCUGAUGGAGAAUGGCAGCUGUGAAUUGCAUUUUUUAGCUACUCUAGCUCAAGAGACUGGGGUGUGGAAAAACCCGGUACUGUGCACUAUUCUUUCCCAGGAACCAUUGGAUAAGGAUAAAGGAUUCCAUCCAGGAUACCACAUUACAUUUAGUCGUCAUGUCUUCUUAGGCUCCUCUUGGCUGUGACAGUUUUUCAGACUUUCCUUGUUUUUGAUGACC